GUCGCCGUGGUGCAAUGGUAGCAUGCCUGCCCUUAAACGGCGGGAGAUUCGGGUUCGAGUCCCGACGGCGCCU
rnacentral:tRNA from 1 species